ACCAGCAAACAGAGGACCAGAAGCAAGUGAGACCAGCACCGAGAGAGAAGAUGUCCCCACACCGCGAGAGGUCAGCGAGCUGAGUGGUCACCGCAGGCCAGGACGCUCCUUCUCCCUGCCAGGGGACCUUCAGCCCCAUCAUCCAAGGCAACGUUUUGUCAGAGUCUGUUAGCUUUUGCAGGCUUCCCCGUCUCCCUGGACCAGUGGCAAAGAGCCUGGUACCCUAGAAACGGGAGCUGGUUUCCUGGAGAUGAUGUCAGACAAUCGCUUGGGGUAAGACAAGUGACCCGCCGCCCCCUCCAGGACCCGCACAUCUCACCGCUCUGCUAGCUGGGAAGUCACGCUACGUUAACUCAAUCACCCCUCCUGUGGGGGAGGUCCAGUCCCAGAACUCACAUGGCAGAGGAAGCGGAACUGGUGAUACUUCCACCGAAAACUUCGGUCGUAGGCCCCAGGGGAACCCUGCUUCGUCCUGGGAAGAGCAAAGAUGUUCUAGAACCCACGUGAUUUCUCAAAAAUUAGCCAUGUAUCUUGUUAGCCCUGAGGAAAGCUGAUGCUACGUUAAAGACAAGAAAGGCAAGCUGUGAAGGAAAGGAAGUGACUGUCAUUAAGGUUUUCUGUAGACAGAUUUGAGGAGUAAAGAAAAACCAGAAAUAAAGCCAGACCUUUUGCUUUUA